rnacentral:lncRNA from 1 species
AAAAAUUCGGCAGAAAUCUGGAAACGGCAGAACAAAUUUCAGACAAAAAUUCUGACCAUAGUGAAGAGAUUUCUGAAUGGAUGGUGGAUGAAAUUAAGUCCUUCAAGGAAGCUGGCGUGAUCUCUUCCUCCACCUGUACUGAAGCGGUAGCAUUAGCUUUAGCAGCUUGAUUGCUCCCUUUGUCAGUCAGCUGUCACGGUGCAGGGUGCCUUCUCAGCUUCCCCUGCGGUCUGUGUUGUCCUGUCUGUUCGGUAGCUCGUGGUCUGGGCAAUCAGCGCUGAUCGUGGCGGGGGUGCGCAGAUCACGAGCUGAGUCUUCCCCACCUGUCGCUCGUUCCCCAGCUCCCUUAUAUGUCUCUGCCUCUCUGUCUGUCGUCGAUCCGUAGUUCGGAGAUCCGGCAGCGCGAGUGGUCCGCAGUGUGCCGGCCAGCUCGGAGAUCUCUGUGUGCGCCAGAGCAUUUGAUUAUUGUUUAUGUUAUUUUGUGUUUUGUGGCGAGAAUAAAGAUUCUCCUUUUCCCUACUCUGCAUCUGAGUCCUCUGUCUAGCCCGCACCCUGACAAUUAGCUUGCAUAUUACUAGUAUAUUGUUUGUUCAUAGGGGUGGCCGAUAUGGAAAAAAAUAUCAUAUCAUUUUUUAGAAAUAUCACGAUUCACGAUUUUAUCACAGUUCUUUGUCAUGUUGGUUUUACUAUUUUGCAAGUUGUCUGAGCAUUACAGCCAAACUAAUUUCCCUAUUAUAAAGACAAAGCUUUUCAAGAUAACAAAAAAGAAGAAAAAAAAGAAUGGCAGAUAUUUAGGCCAAAGAGGGCGAGGAUAAUUUUUUUUUUCUUAUUUAACAAAGAUACACAUUACAACUACACAUAACAUACAAAUAAAACAAACAGUGCUUUGUUUUCAGGUACAAUAGGUGUAUUUAUCGGGACCAUUCAAGAAAUUAAAUGAACAAAUAUAAAAAAUAGAAUACUAUAUGAACUGAUUCCUAAAGCAACUGUAUUAAAUUUCUUCAGUCAAGAGCAGUGAGUGAUUUUUCUUUGUGUUUUGUUUUAUUAACGUUAAAUAGUUCACCCAAAUAUAAAAAUUCUGUCAGCUGUCUGUCAAUUCUGUCAUAGUGUUUUAUUUUUAUACCACCAUUUACUCACUCAAAAGUGGUUUUAAACCUGAAUGAGUUUCUUUCUUCUUCUGAACAUACAGUAAAUGCUAUUUUGAGGAAUGUGGAAAAUCAAACAGUUGCUGCUCCACAAGGACUUCCAUAGUAUUUUUUGCUACUAUCAAAUUCAAUGUGGACCAGUAGCUGUUUGGUUACCCACAUUCUUCAAAAUAUCUUCUUUUGUGUUCAGCACAAGAAAGAAAUUAAUACAGGUUUGGGACAACGUGACAGUGAGUAAAUAAUGACAGUACCCACAUUCUUCAAAAUAUCUUCUUUUGUGUUCAGCACAAGAAAGAAAUUAAUACAGGUUUGGGACAACGUGACAGUGAGUAAAUAAUGACAGAAAUCAAAUUUUAGGGUGAACUAUCCCUAAUGUCGACUGCGUGUUUAUAUGCCUACUGUCUCUUUAAGACCUGCACGCAUCUAAUAU